AUAUCAGUCAUGCAUAGCAUAUCAAUAAGCGGAGGAAAAGAAACUAACAAGGAUUCCCUUAGUAACGGCGAGUGAAGCGGGAAGAGCUCAAAUUUGAAAUCUUCAAGGUUCUACCUUGACGAAUUGUAGUUUAUAGAAGUGUUUUCUGUUAGUGGAGUGGCAAAAGUUCUUUGGAAUAGGACAUUAUAGAGGGUGAGAAUCCCGUAUUUGGUCAUUCCUCCUAGCGUUGUGAUACACUUUCAACGAGUCGGAUUGUUUGGGAAUGCAGUCCAAAAUGGGUGGUAAAUUUCAUCUAAAGCUAAAUAUUGGCGAGAGACCGAUAGCGAACAAGUACCGUGAGGGAAAGAUGAAAAGAACUUUGAAAAGAGAGUUAAACAGUACGUGAAAUUGUCAAAAGGGAAGCGUUUGACACCAGUGUUGUUUUUCCGAAAAUCAAUUACGAAUGUUUUGUUUUUGAGGAGUUAUGACUUCAUCGGCUUGCUCCUUUCUUUACGAAACUUUCUUAAUGCACUUUUCGGUUAACAAGUCAACAUCAAUUUCUUUUGUUGUAAAAGGGUAUGAGGAAGGUGGCUUUCUUUUCGGAGAAAGUGUUUAUAGCCUUGUGCCUCUGCAAUCGGAGAGAUUGAGGUCUGCAGCGUAGACCCUUCGGGGUUAGAUACGUUUGUGCUAAGUUAUAGCUUUUCAUAGACAACUUGUUGACUAUGUUUAGUCUUGUAGCUUACUCGCUUACGCUAUUUUACCUACGCUUAGGAUGUUGAUCUCUCACAGUCGAGC
rnacentral:rRNA from 1 species